rnacentral:rRNA from 1 species
GGCGAAAGCCUGAUGCAGCGACGCCGCGUGAGGGAUGACGGCCUUCGGGUUGUAAACCUCUUUCAGUAGGGAAGAAGCGAAAGUGACGGUACCUGCAGAAGAAGCGCCGGCUAACUACGUGCCAGCAGCCGCGGUAAUACGUAGGGCGCAAGCGUUAUCCGGAAUUAUUGGGCGUAAAGAGCUCGUAGGCGGUUUGUCGCGUCUAUCGUGAAAGUCCGAGGCUCAACCUCGGAUCUGCGGUGGGUACGGGCAGACUAGAGUGAUGUAGGGGAGACUGGAAUUCCUGGUGUAGCGGUGAAAUGCGCAGAUAUCAGGAGGAACACCGAUGGCGAAGGCAGGUCUCUGGGCAUUAACUGACGCUGAGGAGCGAAAGCAUGGGGAGCGAACAGGAUUAGAUACCCUGGUAGUCCAUGCCGUAAACGUUGGGCACUAGGUGUGGGGGACAUUCCACGUUUUCCGCACCGUAGCUAACGCAUUAAGUGCCCCGCCUGGGGAGUACGGCCGCAAGGCUAAAACUCAAAGGAAUUGACGGGGGCCCGCACAAGCGGCGGAGCAUGCGGAUUAAUUCGAUGCAACGCGAAGAACCUUACCAAGGCUUGACAUGUGCCAGACCGCCGUGGAAACACGGUUUCCCCUUUGGGGCUGGUUCACAGGUGGUGCAUGGUUGUCGUCAGCUCGUGUCGUGAGAUGUUGGGUUAAGUCCCGCAACGAGCGCAACCCUCGUUCCAUGUUGCCAGCGCGUAAAGGCGGGGACUCAUGGGAGACUGCCGGGGUCAACUCGGAGGAAGGUGGGGACGACGUCAAAUCAUCAUGCCCCUUAUGUCUUGGGCUUCACGCAUGCUACAAUGGCCGGUACAAUGGGUUGCGAUACUGUGAGGUGGAGCUAAUCCCAAAAAGCCGGUCUCAGUUCGGAUUGGGGUCUGCAACUCGACCCCAUGAAGUCGGAGUCGCUAGUAAUCGCAGAUCAGCA